AAUCCCUGGGAGGGCUAGGUAUCAGAAUUUGUAGCAUACUAUGGAUUUUCAAGGGUGCAGCAAUAUGUAAAUAGGGUGGGGAAAAAAAAGUUGUGUUGCCAUUCUUUUUUGUAGAAUUUGCAACAUUUGGAUAUUAAUGGCCUCUUGGAUUUAACUUUUUAUCUGAUGCCCCAAAACUUAGUGAGAAAAGUGAGAGGGUAAGGAGGAGAUGGGGAUCAUGUGAUGAAUGACGAACUGUGAUCUUAGUUUUCAGUUGCUUGUUGGUGUAAACCAUGCCUCCCUGUUGUUGACAUAGGUGUGAAGUAUGACUAAUCAAAAAGACAUGGGUGUAAAGUAUGAACUUUUAUGAGCAAAAUUUAUGAAUGCUUAUUUUUGGUUGAAGUGGAAUUAUUCUGCCUAUUAUUCAUGAAUGCUUAUCUUUCUCUCUAAUGGCAAAGGAAGUGGAAUUAUUCUGCCUAUUUUUGGAUGAAGUGAGGUGCAUAGAUAACUUCAUGUUUCACCUUAUGAAAUAGGAAUUACAGAAGUGAAGUUUUGAGAGUUAAUUCUGUUUAUCAGUAAGUUUCUGAUAUUCUUGAUUAUUGCAGUUAUUUACGUGGUUCCAUGUAAGGAGACAAUGAAUUCCCAUUGAGAACUGAAUAGGAGAUGAAAUUGAAGUUUUGAGAGAGAACUUCUUAUUGGUAAGAUUUUGAGAAAUGUUGGUCAUUGCAGUAUUUAUGUGGUUGCGGAUGAACCUGUAAGAAUUAGACAUUUGGUAGGUAAUCAGAAACAGUUUCAUUUCAUACAAUAAUUGUGGUGGGAUUCAUCGGUAGAUCAUCUGUGUAUCAUUGGGAUGACAGUCACUAGUGGUGCUAAUAGAAGUGUCAAGUAUUUACGAUGGCUCACGCACGCUCUGAAAUGAGAGCGUUUUAUGUCAUGCAACAGCUGCUGUGGCUUCGGGCUUGUGCGAUAUAGGAAUAGGAUAUAUAAUCAUUCUAUUCAAAGCUACGAUGAUUUGAGUCCAUUUAAGCCACGUCCACAUUUUUAUUAAUUCAUAAUUAAACUAAAAUAUUUUUUU